ACCAAAGCAGAUCAUNUNAACACCCCUAAAUAAAGGGCUAAACCAGAUGAAGCCUGCCCUAAUGUCUUUGGUUGGGGCGACCGCGGGGAAAAACAAAACCCCCACGUGGAAUGGGAACACUCCCUCCUACAACUAAGAGCUUCCGCUCUAGUAAACAGAAUUUCUGACCAAUAAGAUCCGGCAACGCCGA
rnacentral:rRNA from 1 species